GCUGAUUGAUGAGGACUCUAACAUUUUGUAGGACCUGGAUAGCUCUGUUGCUGUAGAAAAUGUCAGGACGGUGGAGAUUUAGAUAAGUGGUGUGAUGUUAUUGAUGGUAAACAGAAGACUGUGACCUUGAAUCUGAAGAUCUGUGAUGAAGACUGGACGUUUGGGGUCACUCUCUGUUACAGUACUACAAAUCUAACAGUGUAACACUCAGCCACAAAGAGGUUGUCUCUGAUGUCCACACAUAAACCGUAUGGAUCGCGUAAAUCACAGUGAAUGUAACGGAGGAACUGUCCGUCCUGAUCUAGGAUGUGGAUACGGUCAUUGUUAUAGUCUGCUGUCAGGAUGUGACUCUGGCUGUCUGUAGUGAUGCCGACUGGAUUAAAUGAUUGCUUGGUAUUAGAGGGAUGACCAGUGUAUCUAAAUCGGAGUUUUCCUGACUGAUUGACCACCACUACUGCUCUAGCUGACCUGUCAGCCACACAGAUAUCCAGGUUCUUGUUCUCACUGAGGUAUUUAUCGUUAUAAUCAGAUGAGUAGAGAGGACGACCCUGAUCAUCAAACUGAAUGCUUUGUUUCUCUGUGGAGCCGGAGUAACGCACGACUUUGGAUUGUUCUCCAUCAUCACUGAUCAUGGUAACCAGGAGAUCGUUAUCCGCGGUACAGCAGACAUUGAGAGGUACCCACCCCUGUAGUGUGAUCACGGUCUGUAUCUGUUUAUUCUUAAUUAAGUUCACGGUGUUAUUCCAAUAGUCAGUAUAAACAAGAUCUCCGUCCCGUGUCACUGCUAUGUCCUGUGGUUCGUCCCCUGACUUGGUUUGUAUUGAUGUCAGUAGUUCACUCUGGAGGUUGAGGAGCUUCAUGGUGUUGUUUAUCCCGCAUGUCCAGACUUGAUCUUCACUCAGACAGCUAACACUGAGUAGAUAGUUAUACCCAGUGUCUAUGGUGGCGGUGACGCGCGGCUCAUCAAGCAGUGGUUUGACUGGAGGAGACGAUACAGCUUCUGCUGACUUCAUUGUGUCGCCAUGUUCUGUGUUAAUAGAUAAUGGCGACAGAGAACCAAACAUUUCAUUCAGCUGAUCUUUGUUUAUUUUCUGAGGAGAGAAACUCGGUAAUGUGACUCGGACUUUAGGCGGUAAUGUUCUAAAUUGGGAAUUCCUAGAUUUGUAAGUAGAGGUUAAGGAGACGUCAUUUAAUUUUAGGAUUGAUUUCAAGUCGGACAUGAUCUGUUUGAGUUCCGCCAUUUUCUGUGUGAUUUCUUCUGUAUUUUUAUUUAGCGCGUCCAGAUGUUUAGUUUUCAUCUCCGCAAUGGCGGAUUUCUGUCGGUUGACAAUGGCGGUGAUUUCUCGGUGUAAGAUUUCUCCUUGUUCAUCGGCAUCUGUCGUCAGUCUCCCGUAUUUCGUUUCUAACUCGGCUUUCUCGGUUUCGACAUUAGACGCCAUUUCUUUAUAUCGCGGGUAAAUUCUUGUCUCGAGUUCUUCUAGAUCUUUUUGUAAACUUUCUGUUUUAGCGCUGAAUUUUUCCAGAAUAUCUGACACAUCGUGACCUUUGUGUUUUCCAAAUAAGGCGCAGGUAGAACAGACAGGAACGCCACAUUUUUCACAGUAAAUUUCACAGUGUUUAUCGGCGUGGUCUGGACAUUUGUGGUAGUUAGUAGACUUUCUGUGUAAAAACGGCACGACUUUGUGUCUUUUAGACGAGUCUGAGAGAUGCUUUACUGCACAGUUAACACAGAGAUUUAUAUUACAAAGUUCACAGUGACUCUGUAGGGGGAUAGUUUCACAGAGGUCACACAGUAGGACUUCCUGAGCACUGCGCCGGGGAUGCAUUUCUGAUGGCGGGAUCACACGAGAACUUUACUGUUGAUUAAAUAAAACCGGAAUUUCAUUUCAAGAUGUUGACAGAUUAAAACAAUUAACGAAAUAUAAUUAUAGUAUGAUAUAAAACACAGCAGUCAUUACUAUAAUAAUAAUUUAGUCUCACCUUAAAAUCCAACAUGGCCUCCCUGUUCUUUCGACCUUCCGUCAAGUCCUGAGAAUUAAAUACUUGUGCGGCGUGUCAGCCUGUAUACACUAUCUACGUGUUAUCGCUUGAGUAAAUAUAUAGUUUUAAAGUUUGCUUUGACCUAGUUUAUGUUGGGUAGUUUUGCUAACAUUUACGAUUAGCAAUAUCCAUUGGAGGGGGGGGGGGGGAUUUCAUGCAGUAGACCUCCGUUUUGGUACUAAAUACAUAUUUGUGUUUUGAUAUACUUUUUUCUGUUGUAGAAUGAGUUGAGUGGACUAAUGAACCUCCAGAUGUCUAUGUACACAUGUAUGAAUAAACUGUUGUACUCGCGCAUGCGAGCUUAUCCUA